CAGUCUCAGUUCGGAUUGAAGGCUGAAAUUCGCCUUCAUGAAGCCGGAAUUGCUAGUAAUGGCAGGUCAGCAUACUGCCGUGAAUACGUUCCCGGGCCUUGUACACACCGCCCGUCACACCAUGGGAGCCGGUAACACCCGAAGUCAGUAGUCCAACCUCGUGAGGACGCUGCCGAAGGUAGGAUUGGCGACUGGGGUGAAGUCGUAACAAGGUACC
rnacentral:rRNA from 1 species